GAAAUCCACUGAAGUCAGAAUUUCUUUCAUACAAGAGAUUCUAUACUCCAUCCAGCACAUCAUUCUAUAUCUCAAUUUUCAUAAUGAAUAAAACCACUGAUGUAAAUGUAGUACUGUCAGCAUAAACUUGAAGUGACUAAUUUCUUCAUGCACCUAAUAGCAAUACAUUUUCAGGUUUGUGCAUCAAAUCUCAAUAACUACUUUCCACUACUCUCAAAAGGUGAGUGUAGAGAUUGUACCUCUAUUAGUUAAAUGUUUUUCUGUAAGUGUUUUAUCAAGCGGUUAAUGUUCCUUCAAUGUAUUUUCAGAUUUCUACAAUACAGUACACUUCAAACUUCCUCCUUUAUCCAUAAUGAUUCUCCACUCCAUGAACUGUUUUUAUGAAGCAGCACAAAACCAAUAAAAAGGUUUGUGCAUCAAAACCCAAUAUCUACUGUCCACUACUAUCAAAGAUUUCUGCAAUAUGCUACACUUCAAACUUUCUUCUCCAGUAUAUGAUUCUCUACACCUUCAACUGUUUUAUGAAGAGGCACACAACCAAUAAAACGGUACAUUGA
rnacentral:lncRNA from 1 species